GAAUGCUGACAUAAGUAACGAUAAAGCGGGUGAAAAGCCCGCUCGCCGGAAGACCAAGGGUUCCUGUCCAACGUUAAUCGGGGCAGGGUGAGUCGACCCCUAAGGCGAGGCCGAAAGGCGUAGUCGAUGGGAAACAGGUUAAUAUUCCUGUACUUGGUGUUACUGCGAAGGGGGGACGGAGAAGGCUAUGUUGGCCGGGCGACGGUUGUCCCGGUUUAAGCGUGUAGGCUGGUUUUCCAGGCAAAUCCGGAAAAUCAAGGCUGAGGCGUGAUGACGAGGCACUACGGUGCUGAAGCAACAAAUGCCCUGCUUCCAGGAAAAGCCUCUAAGCAUCAGGUAACAUCAAAUCGUACCCCAAACCGACACAGGUGGUCAGGUAGAGAAUACCAAGGCGCUUGAGAGAACUCGGGUGAAGGAACUAGGCAAAAUGGUGCCGUAACUUCGGGAGAA
rnacentral:rRNA from 1 species